UUUCCCUUUCGGUACUUAUGCACGUGUCCCGAUCAACUGGAGAUAAAAAGCUCCGUUCCCCCAUAACUAGAACAAGCGGCUUACAUAUUCGCUUAUGAAUAACCCGACGUGCCCACCUGAAUAUCGGAACAGGUGUCCCCAUUCAUUCACGGAGUCGAUGUCUAGUCGAGCGAACGUUACGUCUGUAGCGAGGUAUUCAAGUGCCUCUCGAAUACGAUGAUUUUUGUCAGAUUUCUUCACUGUGCAAUAUAUUUUGAACAUUCAUAGAACACCGGACGAAUCUGGAAAGCUAUUGUGUGAUAUUUUGAGAGAAUAUUUCACGUAUAUACGUACGUAAAUCGAAAUUUAAAGUGAAUUUUCCUACCUUCUGAAUUCUAAAUCCUACACUUUAUUUUUGCCAACUCGACAUAUCGGCUAUAAGUAAGCUAACUUAUCGAUCGCGUUUUACCAACAACAACGAACUAUCAGUAAAAGGACUGAGAAAUCGAAUUCGUACUCGACUCGAGAUUCGUCAGAAAGCGCGAGAGUGGCCCUGUUAUGCCAAUAUUGCGCCACACGGAAUAGAAAUUGCGAGUAAUAUAACUCGAGUGGCGAUGCGUCGAGAAUUGAGACGAAAGCUGAAUCUUGAGACGUCCCGAAUUCUCGCCAAAAAAGAGAAAGGAAGAGAGAAGAAGAUCGUCGAUACGUGCGUGACAUUUACGUAUUAUCUUCGAUACAUUUCGGUGCGUAAAACCCAUUACUACUUUUGCAUUCCGUCCGUGUAUUUUCACGAGCAAUUAGACUUGUCGAGUUGUUCGCAUACUUUCCACUAAGCCGAGCGUUUUAUCACCGAGGGAACGUCGCGAUACAUAUUCUUCUGCGAUUUACAAAAUUGUAAUCUUUCGGUUAAGAAAAUAUUUAAGUACGAAGAAGAUGAAAUAAUGAAUGAGAUAAAUCAUAAAGCAAGAAUACAACAAUAAGAGAAAAUGACUAACAAUUAUUACAAGAAAA
rnacentral:lncRNA from 1 species